rnacentral:rRNA from 1 species
GUUUGAUCCUGGCUCAGGACGAACGCUGGCGGCGUGCCUAACACAUGCAAGUCGAGCGAAGUUUUUCUAGAUGAAAUUUUCGGAUGGAAUCUAGAGUUAUCUUAGCGGCGAACGGGUGAGUAACGCGUGAGAAACCUGCCUUUCACAAUGGGAUAGCCUCUGGAAACGGGGAUUAAUACCAUAUGACAUUAUUUUUUCGCAUGAGAGAAUAAUUAAAGCGUAAAGCGGUGAGAGAUGGUCUCGCGUCCUAUUAGUUAGUUGGUGAGGUAACGGCUCACCAAGACUCCGAUAGGUAGCCGGCCUGAGAGGGUGAACGGCCACACUGGAACUGAGACACGGUUCAGACUCCUACGGGAGGCAGCAGUGGGGAAUAUUGCACAAUGGAGGAAACUCUGAUGCAGCGACGCCGCGUGAGUGAUGAAGGCCUUCGGGUCGUAAAAUUCUGUCCUUGGGGAAGAUAAUGACGGUACCCAAGGAGGAAGCCCCGGCUAACUACGUGCCAGCAGCCGCGGUAAUACGUAGGGGGCGAGCGUUGUCCGGAAUUAUUGGGCGUAAAGGGUUCGCAUGCGGUCUGAUAAGUCAGAUGUGAAUGCUAUGGCUCAACCAUAGCAAGCAUUUGAAACCGUCAGACUUGAGUUAAGAGAGGAAGUGGAAUUCCUAGUGUAGCGGUGAAAUG